rnacentral:piRNA from 1 species
UUGGUAUCCUUUCUUAAGUUU